AUUUCAGGUUCAUACAGUGGAAGAGACUUGAAAUGUCUACAGAUCCACAGCAAGAGUUGAUGCACAUGGAUAAGUGUUUGCAGUUAUUCACAUGCAGUUCAUUUCCCUGAACACCAGCAGUCACGUGCAAUUUCUUGAACUGGGUGCAGCAGUACUCAACCCAGCAGCAGCAGCUACUGAGUGCCAAAGGAAAAUAAAUCAUAGAGAGGCAUUAUUCUGCUGGGAAAAUGAAAUGGAAAAUGACUCUCCUGUAGCCAGUAGGCUCGUGAGGAGCACAUUACAUUACAAAAACAUUCAGCUUCGUAGUUGCAAACCAGCCACUAGAGGUCAGUGGUUUGGAAUAAAAUAAGCACAAGAAGGAAAAA